CCCUUAGAUGUCCUGGGCCGCACGCGCGCUACACUGAGUGUCUGAGAUACGAGUCUGCCUGGUCCGGUAAGGUCUAGGUAAUCGCUAAAAGACACAUCAUGCUUGGGAUAGAUUAUUGCAAAUAUUAAUCUUGAACGAGGAAUUCCUAGUAAGCGCAAGUCAACAGCUUGCGUUGAUUACGUCCCUGCCCUUUGUACACACCGCCCGUCGCUACUACUGAUUGGAUGUUUAAGCGAGGUUCUCGAACUGCUAGCGACUUAGCUUCGGUGAGGUCGCAGUGUGGGAAGUGAACCUAGCUUUGGUGUCUAGAGGAAGUAAAAGUCGUAACA
rnacentral:rRNA from 1 species